CCUACGGGUGGCAGCAGUGAGGAAUAUUGGUCAAUGGCCGCAGGGCUGGACCAGCCAAGUCGCGUGAGGGCUGACGGUCCUAUGGAUUGUCAACCUCUUUUGUAAGGGAGCAAAGGGCGCCACGUGUGGCGUUUUGCGAGUACCUGAAGAAAAAGCAUCGGCUAACUCCGUGCCAGCGGCCGCGGUAAUACGGAGGAUGCGAGCUUUAUCCGGAUUUAUUGGGUUUAAAGGGUGCGCAGGCGGAAUGUCAAGUCAGCGGUAAAAUUUCGGGGCUCAACCCCGUCGUGCCGUUGAAACUGGCGGUCUUGAGUGUGCGAGAAGUAUGCGGAAUGCGUGGUGUAGCGGUGAAAUGCAUAGAUAUCACGCAGAACUCUGAUUGCGAAGGCAGCAUACCGGCGCUCAACUGACGCUCAUGCACGAAAGCGUGGGUAUCGAACAGGAUUAGAUACCCCUGUAGUC
rnacentral:rRNA from 1 species